GAUGAACGCUAGCGGGAGGCCUAACACAUGCAAGCCGAGCGGUAGAGUUUCUUCGGAAACUUGAGAGCGGCGCACGGGUGCGUAACACGUGUGCAACCUACCUUUAUCUGGGGGAUAGCCUUUCGAAAGGAAGAUUAAUACCCCAUAAUAUAAUGAUUGGCAUCAAUUAUUAUUGAAAACUCCGGUGGAUAGAGAUGGGCACGCGCAAGAUUAGAUAGUUGGUGAGGUAACGGCUCACCAAGUCAAUGAUCUUUAGGGGUCCUGAGAGGGAGAUCCCCCACACUGGUACUGAGACACGGACCAGACUCCUACGGGAGGCAGCAGUGAGGAAUAGUGGACAAUGGGUGAGAGCCUGAUCCAGCCAUCCCGCGUGAAGGAUGACGGUCCUAUGGAUUGUAAACUUCUUUUGUACAGGGAUAAACCUACCCUCGGGAGGGUAGCUGAAGGUACUGUACGAAUAAGCACCGGCUAACUCCGUG
rnacentral:rRNA from 1 species